CGGAGUUUCCAACGUGGGAGAGUCCUCGUGCAGUUGGGGCGGUGAACAUGGAGUGAGGGGUUUCUGCGUGCUUCAACUUCUAGCAAAGGUGGUGGUGGUUCUUGGUGCCACCGAGGGCUGAGUAGAGGAGAAAGGGCUGUUGUUUGGUUCCUCAAUCAUGGCUGAGGGAGCGAUGGGCAGUGCUGAUCCCCUUUGGCGUGGUCUCGAAAGAGAUGUGGCAACGUGAAGGGUUGGACAUGGGCGUGAAAUUUGAGGUGUAGGCUGGUUUUGAGGAAAGAGAGGAGUUGCGGCUUGCUUGCUGGAAACUCAUUGAAAAAAUUGACAUGUCUAUCAGGUAAGAAGAAAAAUAAGAUAAAAAUUUUGGGUGAGAAGCUACGGGGAGGAGAGAAAUACAGGGAGAAGUAGGGGUGUGCAUAUAUUUUUAUAACCCGCUUGACCCGCUUGACCCGAUCAAAUCCACCCGAUAAAGGUCGGGUUAUAAUUGAAGCGGGUCAUUUGAAAUGAUAUGCGGGCGAAACCGCAGCUGAAGAACAACCCGUGCUCUCUCACACACCUCAGUCCCGACUCCAUCUCCUUCGUCUUCAACCCUAGCCCCCCUCCCUCUCUCUCUCGACUUCUCUCUCACCAACGUGAUCUCUCUUUCUCUCGCUCUCUCUCUCUCUCUCUCUCUCACAGACGCUUGCGUGGGUCUCUCUCUCUCUCUCUUCGACCGCAGCUCCAAUAUCAGCUUCGGCGUGGGUCUCCAAGGAGAAUUUGAUCCCCAAUCAAGCUUUAUUUAUGUUGAUGAUGAGUGACUCAAGACUUAUGGUCUAUUCUAUAUUUGUUGUUAAAGAUUCCUGUUUGAGGACUGUUUAUUUAUAGUUCAUGAAUUUGUUUAAAAGGGCUGUAAUAUUUUUCAUUGAUAAUAUAUAUAUGGACGUUCUAUUCAUGUUUAUUGUUUAUGUUAUGGAUGGCCUAUGGGAUGUAAUGUAGUGGAUGAAUGAAUGAAUUUCUUAUAUU